UACGUAGGGGGCAAGCGUUGUUCGGAUUCAUUGGGCGUAAAGGGUGCGUAGGCGGCGCGGUAAGUCGGGUGUGAAAUCUCGGAGCUUAACUCCGAAACUGCAUUCGAUACUGCCGUGCUUGAGGACUGGAGAGGAGACUGGAAUUCAUGGUGUAGCAGUGAAAUGCGUAGAGAUCAUGAGGAAGACCAGUGGCGAAGGCGGGUCUCUGGACAGUUCCUGACACUGAGGCACGAAGGCCAGGGGAGCAAACGGG
rnacentral:rRNA from 1 species